rnacentral:lncRNA from 1 species
AUAUCCACUUGAUGAUCUAAGUAAAGGGGCACUGGUGCAUGAUAUAGAUGGAUCUAGGUAUGGAAUAAUGAAUAUCAAUCUAUUUGAAAGUUUCAAUAAGGUGUUGAAGGGGGCUCGCUCAUUGCCCAUUACUGCUCUUGUUCGUCUUUCUUUCGAAUGUUUGUCAAAGUGGUUCAGUGUCAGAUCUACAAUUGUAGCACGA